UGCCUGUUUUUGUGGGGCAUUUCCUUUUUUGUAAAGUGAAGAUGCUGAUUCUGCUUUUACAGCCACCUUAUCUCCCAAAGAUUCCACCAUUUGUCCUGAAUGUUUUCCAAAAUCAUAUUCACAUCUUUGUUUUGUUUUUGUUUUUGUUUCACACUCCCAUUGAGGUUGAAUGACAAAAAAAUAAAUAUGAGAGUUAAAAAUAAAUAUUUUAUAUUGCCAAUAGUUUUCAUACUUUUUCGCUUUUAUUAGGGUCAUCAAUUUACUCAAAUAGCGAUUUAUACUCAAAUAUUUUCAUUAUAUAGAAGGAUAUUUAAGUAAAUUUAUCUUAAUAAAGACAAAGAAUAGUUACAAUUGCAGACGUUAGAAGUGAGAAAAUCACUAGUUUAGUAUAAAUAUCAUUUCUCUUGUUUUUUGAUUUACUAUAUUUUGUUUAUAAACCUCUGAAAAUAAAAAGAUGGCGGUUCACUGUUUUCCAAAUAAUCUUUCAUUUCUCUCCUCUCCUCACCACCACACCAAGGCACCACCUACAACUACCCACUCGUGGCGCUUGUUAAAGCACGGUAUUCAAUUGAAUACUCUAUUUUUUUUAGUUGUAAUCUAGAAGCGAAAAUUUUUGAAAAUGGGGAACAAUAAUCGGGUCCCGUCUUCUUCCUAUAAAAAUAUUCAAAUUUUUAUACUUAUUUAGUAGUUUUUUGUUUUAAGCAUUGAAAUGUGGAAGUUUAUUGUACGAAUGAAAUGUGAAAGAGCCAACAUAGGCAAUUGGCUUCGUUAUGUAUUUCCAAAGAGAUGCAUUUGAUAAUAUAAAUAAUCAAAUCCACCCCAAAAGCAUGAAUAUUGAAGUUAUUAUGCAAUAAUUUUAAAAACUAGUCUAUGAAAAUUGUAAUAUUCUAUGUAUUUACAUAUUUUUGAUAUAAUAGUCCUUUUUACACACAUGAUUUGUCAAAUAAAACUGAUAGAAUUUAAGUUUUAUAUUACUACCCUAACAAAAGUUUUUGACAUGCCAUUGCAACCGCACCACCUCUAGCUACCACGAUCCCACGACCUCACUACUAGUCGUCAUCACCAUCUUCCAUAGUCAACAACCACUACCGACAACCACCUCUGACCGUUGAGUACUCUUGCGGCAACUGCCCCACCUUUUGCCACAACUGCGGAAGACUAUUCUAUCUCUGCGCACCAUCUUUAGCCACGAACUAGCACCAAGUCACCACCAGUUCUUAGCCCUCAUAUUUGGCCAUAACCACUUAUGACACCCUCGUCAUUAGAGGCAGGGGCGGUGCUACAGCAGCCCAGGUGGGGCUGUAGCCCCCCCGACUUUCAAAGUAUUACAAAAUUUGUUUUAGAAAAUUUUUUUUUUUACACUUUAGCUCCCUUGAAAUAUAUUAAAUUUUUUUUUUUAUACUUUAGCCCCCUAACCUAAAAUCCUGACUCCGCCCCUAGUCUAAUCCCAUUUGGCCAACAUAUGUGCAUGCACCAAACAUAUAUUAAUUCACUUGUUUACAUUUGUUUUUUUUUAAACAAAAAAGCAAAAACUUUUUUUUGUUUAUUAUAAACAAAAAAUAAAAGAAAGCUAAUCAGAUGGGUUUAAGCCCGUGAUAUUACCACGGGCUCGCCUAAAUAGUCGCGCCACAUCCACCCAUUUGGGGGGGGGAUGGGACUUAAAAAAAAACAACAUAAUUUAUCUUAUUCACUCCUAAAUGAGUGGAUGUGGCGCGACCACGUAAACGAGUCUGUGGUAAUACUAUGGGUUUAAGCCCGUCUGAUCAGCUCUCAAAAUGAAAACAGUAAACGCUACAAAACACUAUAUUUCAUUAUAGUUUUACUUUUGGGAACAUCGUUGAUGUCAAUUACUUCUCAUCAAACCACCCUCCGCUCUCUAUCUGGUCUUUCUAUUUUUUUGUUUGUCAUUUAUCUCUCUUCACGUUUCAUUUUACCCCAAGUCAUAUCAAGUCAGAAUCUUGUCCUUGCCAAAACAUUUGGACCACUACAUUAUUGUUUGAAGGACAAUAUUUUAUUUUAUUAUAUUUUAUUUUAUUUUCAAAUUUAAAAGACAAAUGACAUUUUUUAUAAUAGAUUAGUAUAAAUAUCAUUUCUCUUGUUUUUGAUUUAAUAUAAUAUUGUUUUUUGUUUACGACACUGAAAGUAAAAAGAUGUGGUUUACCACUUGUUUCAAAAUAAGCUUUCAUUCUCUCCUCUCUCUCCUCACCACCGAGGCACCACCUACAACUACCCACUCGUGGCGGCUUGUUAAAGCAUUGGUAUUCAAUUGAAUACUCAAUUUUUUUUUGUAAAUCUAGAAGCGAAAAUUUUGAAAAUGGGGAACAAAAUAAUGCAGUCACUUUCUUUCUAUAAAAAAUAUUCAAAUUUUAUACCUAUUUAGUAUUAUUUAUUGAAGCAUUGAAAUGUGAAGUUUAUUAACGAAUCGAAAGGUGAAAGAGGCACAGAGGCAAUUGGCUUCGUUAUGUAUAUCCAAAGAGAUGCAUUUGAUAAUAUUAAUAAUCAAAUUCACCCAAAAAAAUAUAAAUAAUAAAAAUCAAGAUAUUAUGUUAAAAGUUGAUUAUUCAAAACAUGAGUUAAGAACUAUCAAAAUAAAACUUCUCAGUUUUUAUUUUUAUUUUCAAUUUUCUUAAAUUAUUUUGGGUUCAUAAAUAAAAGAAUAAAUUACAAUAAACUUUUUAAGACAACUUUUAAAAGAAAAAAAUAAAACAAAACAGAAUAGAACAUUCAGCAAUUAUUUGUGAGCACUGUUGUGGGUCCCCUGAAAAUAUGAUACACUCAGGCUCCGUUUGGUUAAUGUUAAAAAAAACUAAGCUUUUUUUAAGCUUGCCUGCUACUAAGAAGGCAAAGAAUUUUUGAUUUUUUUUUUUUUUGCUUUUGUGGCUUUACUUAGCUUAAAUCUAAGCAAAAAGCAAAAUCAGAAAAGCAAAAAAGCCAACAAAGUUGGCUUUUUUGAAUUAUUUUAAGACAAAAAUCAAAAGGAGAAAAAAAGCUGUGAAAAAAGUGUGGUGCAAACAGAGCCUCAAUAUCUCUAUUGUGAGACCCCCAUCACGUUGGUGGUGGGUUCCCCACUAUUAGUUGUGAAAGAAAUUAUUCAAAUAAGAUAUAAAAAUCUCCCCACAUAUGUAGUUUCAUUUGCGACAUCAUUAACUUCUAAAUUUAUUUGUCAGUGCAUUUAACAUGUUCAACCUAAUUCAAAUUCGAUGGGUCUCUCCUCUAAUUUAUUUAAUUAUUUUCGAUUCCUAAAAUGUAAAAUCACUAAUCUAAUCGAUUUGGGAAAUUUUCAUAGGUCAUCCCUUAAAACCCUAAGAUCGAUGAUACAUUAGGGUUCUUUGCGACCACGAGACAGCAAAAUCUUCUCCCUUUUAAGUUAUAAUAGAAGAAAUUAUGAGGGUUGGAGGGUCCUAAAUAGAAAAAUAAAUAUUUGAGGGAGUAUGGUUGGAAAACUAACGAAAAAAGCAGUACUGGAAUGAUAUUAUGCAAUAAUUUUAAAAACUCGUCGAUGAAAAUUGUAAUAUUCUAUGUAUUUACAUAUUUUUGAUAUAAUAGAGGUCCUUUUUAUACGCAACCACACCACCUCUAGCCACCACAAUUCAUAGACCUCACUACUAGCCAUCAUCACCAUCUCCCAUAGUCAACAACCACUACCGACAACCACCUCUGAUCGUUGGUGACUAGACUCCUCCGGCAACUGCCCCACCUUUUGCCACAACUGCAGAAGACUAUUCUAUCUCUGCCCACCAUCUUUGGCCUCGAACUAACACCAAGUCACCAACAGGUCCUAGCCUUCAUAUUUGGCCACAACCACUUAUGACACCCUUGUCAUCGGAGACCCUUUUGGCCAACCCUACAUCAUGUAUAUGUGCAUGCACCAAACAUAUAUUAAUUUACUUGUUUACAUUUUUUUUUUAAACAAAAAAGCAAAACCUCGUUUUUUUGUUUAUUAUUGACAAAAAAAAUAAAAACAAUAAACGCUACAAAACAUUACAUUUCAUUUUAGUUUUACUUUUGGGAACAUCACAUAAUUGAUGUCCAGCGCUUCUCAUCACACCACCCUCUUCUCUUUCUAUCUUCGCCACGUUUCAUUUUACCCAAGGCAUAUCAAGUCAAAAUCUUGUUUUCUAAGGCUUUAUUGGGUCCCGUUUUCAUUUCUUAUUUUUUGAAUAUUUGAAAAAGGAAAAUAGCAAUGAGUACAAGAACGUCCAUAGUUUUUAGGAAUUUUUUUAACAAAACCUCUAGAGUUUUAUCUAAGUAAUAAAUUAAAUUUUAUAAUUUUAAUUUUUUUAAAUUAAAGGAUUUAAUUUUAAUUUUGUCACAAUUAAAACUAUAUAUACGUGAGUCUCCAUCCACCUAAAGUUGACGAAAUCAACUAGUUAUCUUUAGGUUAUUUCCAUCCACCUAAAGUCUUUGUUCACCUGUGCGGGCAACAAUCUAUCUCUCUGGGGAUGCCGAUUUCUCCUAUACACUAGGAAGCAAGUGUUUGUUUUGAUGAUCCAGAUUGUUCUAAUAAAAUAGUGGAGCAUCGACUUGAGUAUAACAGAUAAUUAGGCCAUGUUUAAUGAUUUUUUUGUUUGUUUUUAAAGCUAUUUUGAUUUUUAAUUUUUUAAUUUGAUCAAAAUUUUAUACUUUUUCAAUUCAUCUUGACAAAAUGAGUUAAAAUAUAAAAAUUAUUAUCUAAUUUUAAAAAAUUUUAUUAAAUACAAAAAUAAAUAAUUAUUACUUAAAAAAAAUCAUGUAAAAAUAGUUUAUUUUAGUAUGUAAUGAACUUUUAUCCAAAGUAGUUGAAUAUUUAUAUUUUUGGACUCGUCUUGUCAAUAGUGAAUAGAAAAAUUAUAAAAUUUUGAUUAAAUGAUUAAAAAAAAUUCAAUAAAUAGAUCAAAAAUCAAAACAGUUAUAUAAACAUAAAAAAAGACAUCUAAAAUGGGGCUUAACCACGUCUCAUUGAGACGUGGUUGGGUAGUGAUUGGCAUAAUUCUUUUAAAAAUUAUAGUUACAAUACGUAU
rnacentral:lncRNA from 1 species